GGUUCACUACGGGCGAGCAGCGUGGGUGUUACUUAGGGGGCGAGCGUGUUCCGGAUUGAUUGGCUAGAAAGGGGUGUUAGGGGGUUGAUUGCGUCGGAAGUGUAAGCUUGGGGCUUAACCCUGAGCGGGCUUUCGAUACGGGUUGACUUGAGUAAGGUAGGGGAGAAUGGAAUUCCUGGUGGAGCGGUGGAAUGCGCAGAUAUCAGGAGGAACACCAGUGGCGAAGGCGGUUCUCUGGGCCUUUCCUGACGCUGAGGAGCGAAAGUGUGGGGAGCGAACAGGAUUAGAUACCCUAGUAUC
rnacentral:rRNA from 1 species